rnacentral:RNase_P_RNA from 1 species
UAUGCAAACCGAGCUGUCGCUUCCCGAUUUAUGUCGGGAAGAGGAAAGUCCGGGCAGCGCAGAGCACCGUACCUUUGGAAACAGGGGGUUCCGGUGAGGUGACUCAUUGGAAACAGCAAGUGCCACAGAAACUAAACCGUCUCGACUUGUCGGGAUAAGGGUGAAACGGUGGAGGUAAGAGCCCACCCCGCACAUAAGCAAUUAUGCGCGAGGGUAAACCUUGCGGGAUGAAAGGCCAAAUAUACCGGGGAUUGAGGGUUGCUCGCCCAAUCCCGGAGGGUGGGUCGCUUAGAUAGAUGACAGCACUCCGAUUAAUCGGAGAACAGAACCCGGCUUACAGGUUUGCGCAAAAA